AUACUCCGUCUUUCAUACGUGACUCGGUGCAGCUGCAGUGUAGCAGUCCUGGGGAAGUCCAGGUGAAGAACACCCCAAAUGAAUGCCUUGAAGAAGAGCACAUGGACCGUCCUGAGGAAGAGAGCGCAUGUAGUGUCACUCCAGAAGAGAGCUGCCCUCAGGACGUUCAGGUGAGAGAAUUUGUGACAGCAGUCACUUCGGUGUUUGUUCUGAUCAUGUGACAGAAAAGCCAAACAUACCAAAUAUUUGACUUGCAGUGAAUUUUCUCUUUAAUGCCUUUUUGGAGGUCCAGGAUGAUGAACCAGAAACCACUGUAGAUGAACUUCCUUCCUUAACAUCAGUUGGUAAGAUUAAAAGCAAUAUUGCUUCUGUUAUUUAGUUGUCUUUUUCAUUUCAUCUUUCUUCUUUCCUUUUAUGUUUCUUCUUCUAUGUCUUUUUCCUUUCAACUCAAUUUAAUGUACUUUGUCUCUGUACCACUUAUCUAAAUAAGGAAGUCCUUCGGGAGCGAAUAAGAUUUUACCCAUCCUUGAGAUGCCCCAGGUUCUUGACACCACACAAUCAGAUGAAAGUGCAACAGAAGACUUUUCAGACACCAAAACCCAUAAUUAAGUGCUUAACUUGGUUUGCAGCAGAUCCCAAGACGUUUUUAAAACAUCUGUGACUUUUACAGAUGUGCCUGAAAGAAGAGGAGAAUUUGAUGGGUCUGAGAAUGAAGAUCUAAUUACCGAUCAGGAGGAAGAAGAUUCAGAUCCUGUUGAGUCUGAAGUCACAGACGCCAUGAUUGAGGAAUCUCAGACGGAACUGAAGAGGAUUAUUCCAGUCAGCUGUUCUGCGGAUGGUUCCUCAGUUAAAACUCAAGAUGAUCUUGCCCCAGACAGACACAGUCAGCUUGUUAAGCAAACACCCAACCUAGAAGGGACAUCCCCAGACAUGAUCAGCCCUCAGCAGACCUCAGAGCCUAAAGAAGGUCCUGCUGAAAAGUCAGAACCUCAGAGUCCUGCUCAAGCCCAGAACAAUAAUUUGGAUCGUGACUUGGAGAACUUCUCCAGAGAAGAUGAGCUUUUGUCAUCUGAGGUGGAUUUACCGGACCGUACACUGGAUGAGGAUCUUCUGUCUCCUGUCCCAUUACUUAGCUCAACACAAACUUUAGCCACAAAAGUUCUUGUGGAUGAAACUGAUAAAAGAAACACACUUUCAAAUGGUGAGUUUUAGACUCAAGUUGUAUUUACUGUUGUAUUUAAUUAGUUUGAUCUAAUUUUAUUUUCUUAGUAGAAAUAUUUAGGCCACUCCAAGUUAAAACAUAAAACUGACUAGGAACCAUCCUUUAUGUGUACACACAAAUGAUUGAGUCUGUUC
rnacentral:lncRNA from 1 species